UGGGGAAUUUUGGACAGUGGGCGAAAGCCUGAUCCAGCAAUGCCGCGUGUGUGAAGAAGGCCUUCGGGUUGUAAAGCACUUUUGUCCGGAAAGAAAUCCUUGGCUCUAAUACAGUCGGGGGAUGACGGUACCGGAAGAAUAAGCACCGGCUAACUACGUGCCAGCAGCCGCGGCAAUACGUAGGGUGCAAGCGUUAAUCGGAAUUACUGGGCGUAAAGCGUGCGCAGGCGGUUUGCUAAGACCGAUGUGAAAUCCCCGGGCUCAACCUGGGAACUGCAUUGGUGACUGGCAGGCUAGAGUAUGGCAGAGGGGGGUAGAAUUCCACGUGUAGCAGUGAAAUGCGUAGAGAUGUGGAGGAAUACCGAUGGCGAAGGCAGCCCCCUGGGCCAAUACUGACGCUCAUGCACGAAAGCGUGGGGAGCAAACAGGAUUAGAUACCCUGGUAGUCCACGCCCUAAACGAUGUCAACUAGUUGUUGGGAAUUCAUUUCCUUAGUAACGUAGCUAACGCGUGAAGUUGACCGCCUGGGGAGUACGGUCGCAAGAUUAAAACUCAAAUGAAUUGAC
rnacentral:rRNA from 1 species